UGAUCCUGGCUCAGAUUGAACGCUGGCGGCAUGCCUUACACAUGCAGUCGAGCGGCAGCGCGGGCAACCCUGGCGGCGAGCGGCGAACGGGUGAGUAAUGCAUCGGAACGUGUCCUCUUGUGGGGGAUAACCAGUCGAAAGACUGGCUAAUACCGCAUGAGAUCGAGAGAUGAAAGCAGGGGACCCGCAAGGGCCUUGCGCGAGAGGAGCGGCCGAUGCCGGAUUAGCUAGUUGGCGGGGUAACGGCCCACCAAGGCGACGAUCCGUAGCUGGUCUGAGAGGACGACCAGCCACACUGGGACUGAGACACGGCCCAGACUCCUACGGGAGGCAGCAGUGGGGAAUUUUGGACAAUGGGGGCAACCCUGAUCCAGCCAUGCCGCGUGUGUGAAGAAGGCCUUCGGGUUGUAAAGCACUUUCGGACGGAACGAAAUCGCGCGAUCUAAUAAGUCGCGUGGAUGACGGUACCGUAAGAAGAAGCACCGGCUAACUACGUGCCAGCAGCCGCGGUAAUACGUAGGGUGCGAGCGUUAAUCGGAAUUACUGGGCGUAAAGUGUGCGCAGGCGGCCGCGCAAGUCGAGUGUGAAAGCCCCGGGCUUAACUUGGGAAUUGCGCUCGAAACUACGUGGCUGGAGUGUGGCAGAGGAAGGUGGAAUUCCACGUGUAGCGGUGAAAUGCGUAGAGAUGUGGAGGAACACCAAUGGCGAAGGCAGCCUUCUGGGCCAACACUGACGCUCAUGCACGAAAGCGUG
rnacentral:rRNA from 1 species